rnacentral:rRNA from 1 species
GAUGAACGCUGGCGGCGUGCUUAACACAUGCAAGUCGAACGGAGUUUACAUGUGAGCGGAGGGUGCUUGCAUCUAACAAUCUUUUGUAAACUUAGUGGCGGACGGGUGAGUAACGCGUGGGUAACCUGCCGUAUACAGGGGGACAACAGUUGGAAACGACUGCUAAUACCGCGUAUAUGGUAUAGAGGCAUCUUUGUACCAAGAAAGGAGUGAUCCGGAUAAGGAUGGGCAUGCGGGACAUUAGCUAGUUGGUGAGGUAACGGCCCACCAAGGCGACGAUCAGUAGCCGGACUGAGAGGUUGACCGGCCACAUUGGGACUGAGACACGGCCCAGACUCCUACGGGAGGCAGCAGUGGGGGAUAUUGCGCAAUGGGGGCAACCCUGACGCAGCAAUGCCGCGUGAAGGAUGAAGGUUUUCGGAUUGUAAACUUCUUUUAUUAAGGACGAACAAUGACGGUACUUAAUGAAUAAGCUCCGGCUAACUACGUG